rnacentral:rRNA from 1 species
UAGGGAAUCUUCCACAAUGGACGCAAGUCUGACGGAGCAACGCCGCGUGAGUGAAGAAGGUUUUCGGACCGUAAAGCUCUGUUGUUGGUGAAGAAGGAUAGAGGUAGUAACUGGCCUUUAUUUGACGGUAAUCAACCAGAAAGUCACGGCUAACUACGUGCCAGCAGCCGCGGUAAUACGUAGGUGGCAAGCGUUGUCCGGAUUUAUUGGGCGUAAAGCGAGCGCAGGCGGAAGAAUAAGUCUGAUGUGAAAGCCCUCGGCUUAACCGAGGAAUUGCAUCGGAAACUGUUUUCUUGAGUGCAGAAGAGGAGAGUAGAACUCCAUGUGUAGCGGUGGAAUGCGUAGAUAUAUGGAAGAAUACCAGUGGCGAAGGCGGCUCUCUGGUCUGCAACUGACGCUGAGGCUCGAAAGCAUGGGUAGCGAACAGGAUUAGAUACCCUGGUGUCCAUGCCGUAAACGAUGAGUGCUAAGUGUUGGGAGGCUUCCGCCUCUCAGUGCUGCAGCUAACGCAUUAAGCACUCCGCCUGGGGGAGUACGACCGCAAGG